GCGUUUGAUGUGACUGAAGAUAAGAGGUGAUGCCCCUGCUGCAGAGUCUACAGACUGACAAAGAAAGAAAAAGAUGUUUAAGAGCAGAAAAGCACAAUUUGAUAUGGAUAUGAGAAAUGCAUGAUUAAAGGUCAUACAGGCUUGGAACAACAUUAAGGAGGAAUUCUGAGAUUAACCAGCUCACCAGCAGAAUUGACCGAGCAGGAAACAGGUGGAGGAAGUCUGUACACGUUCUGACCUUUGCCGUUCAACAUGUCAGUCAUCUGAAAGAAUGAGAAUCAAACAGAACUUGAAACAAUUGCUUCAUUUUUCUCAACAUUUUCCCCUUAUUGUGAUACUUCUCAUUGCAUGAACUGGAACUAUUUUAUAAAUCGGUGGAGGCAAGGAUGAUCCUCAAUGCAUACAGGAGCCAUCUGGGCAAAUUCAAAGAAAAACAAGUUGAAUUUCUCUCUCCACUGGGUAAAUGAAUUCAGAGGGGAAAUUGAAGCAGAAAUGUAGCAGCUUAUUUAGCAACCAACAACAAAUUUGUUUUUAUGAUAUCCUCACAAUUAAAAGGUUAUUAUAUAACAUA